rnacentral:rRNA from 1 species
GACGAACGCUGGCGGCGCGCCUAACACAUGCAAGUCGAACGAGCGAGAGAGAGCUUGCUCUCUCGAGCGAGUGGCGAACGGGUGAGUAACGCGUGAGGAACCUGCCUCAAAGAGGGGGACAACAGUUGGAAACGACUGCUAAUACCGCAUAAGCCCACGACCCGGCAUCGGGUAGAGGGAAAAGGAGCAAUCCGCUUUGAGAUGGCCUCGCGUCCGAUUAGCUAGUUGGUGAGGUAACGGCCCACCAAGGCGACGAUCGGUAGCCGGACUGAGAGGUUGAACGGCCACAUUGGGACUGAGACACGGCCCAGACUCCUACGGGAAGCAGCAGUGGGGAAUAUUGCACAAUGGGGGAAACCCUGAUGCAGCGACGCCGCGUGGAGGAAGAAGGUCUUCGGAUUGUAAACUCCUGUUGUUGAGGAAGAUAAUGACGGUACUCAACAAGGAAGUGACGGCUAACUACGUG